GGGGGCGCAUAGGCUUCGACGGGAGUGGUCAGCGUCCUGUGAGACGAGCCGAGUUUGCUGGAGACUCGUAAAACGCCGGCGACAAAAGAUACUCGCCAACGACAACGUUGCGAUGGCUGCCUAACUAAAGAGUAGCCCAUCGGUCCGGGAAGCCCACGUCCCGGUUCCCGGUGUCAUUGAGUGGGAUCACCCUCCGGGUUCUGGCCCGGUGCGCGGGGGGGACAUCCAACGGGCUAGCCCCGCGGCGGCGCCCCGGUCCGUCGCGUAAGGCGAAACUAAACCGGGAGCUACGCUCGUAGAAUCUCACGGACGGCGCGCUCGCGGACGCGGGUUCGAAUCCCGCCGCCUCCACUA
rnacentral:tmRNA from 1 species